rnacentral:pre_miRNA from 1 species
UCAGUACUCCCUCCGUCCGGAAAUACUUGUCAUCAAAAUGAAUAAAAGGGGAUGUAUCUAGAUGUAUUUUAGUUCUAGAUACAUCUCUUUUUGUCCAUUUUGAUGACAAGUAUUUUCGGACGGAGGGAGUAUAUG